CGGCGUGCUAACACAUGCAAGUCGAACGGGGACGAGACGGAAACCUAGUGAAGUCGUGUCCGAGUGGCGGACGGGGUGGAGUAACGACGUCGGAGUAACCUGCCGCGAUGGCAGGGGGAUACCGGGACUGGAAACAGCCGCUAAUACCGCAUAAGCGCACGGUGCCGCAUGGCAGAGUGCGAAAAGGAGAAAUCCGGCAAGCGAUGGAUCCGCGUCCGAUUAGCCAGUUGCGGGGUAAGGGCCCGCCAAAGCGACGAUCGGUAGCCGGCCUGAGAGGGCGGACGGCCACAUUGGGACUGAGACACGGCCCAGACUCCUACGGGAGGCAGCAGUGGGGGAUAUUGCACAAUGGGGGAAACCCUGAUGCAGCGACGCCGCGUGGGUGAAGAAGUAUUUCGGUAUGUAAAGCCCUAUCAGCAGGGAAGAAAGAAGGCGGUACCUGACUAAGAAGCCCCGGCUAACUACGUG
rnacentral:rRNA from 1 species